AAGUCCCUACGGGGGGCAGCAGUGGGGAAUAUUGCACAAUGGGGGAAACCCUGAUGCAGCAACGCCGCGUGAGUGAUGACGGCCUUCGGGUUGUAAAGCUCUGUCUUCAGGGACGAUAAUGACGGUACCUGAGGAGGAAGCCACGGCUAACUACGUGCCAGCAGCCGCGGUAAUACGUAGGGGGCGAGCGUUGUCCGGAUUUACUGGGCGUAAAGGGAGCGGAGGCGGACUUUUAAGUGAGAUGUGAAAUACUCGGGCUCAACUUGAGUGCUGCAUUUCAAACUGGAAGUCUAGAGUGAAGGAGG
rnacentral:rRNA from 1 species